UCGAGUCAAAGCCUAUUGAAGUUACUGAAAAGAUUCCCGUGAAUCUUUGCCUCUGUGACUCAUCCGGAGCUUAUACAAUGCACAAAAUGUCAGGCUCACAAACUGCACUGUGCAAACAAGACAGCUAAAGCCUAAACAAAACACAGUGAGAGCAGUCAGCUCUCUCUCACCAAUGUAUGUCAGGAUUUGGUCUGCUAAAAUCAUCACAGCUGCAGUCCUGUACAGCAGGAGCACACAAGCAGAGAAUGAACUCUGAACUGCUGCCUGUUACUGAGAGGGCUUUAGGAGACAAGAAAACUCUCUUAUAGACAGAGCCAGAGGAAUCAAUUCUGCAUCUUGAGAGAUGCUGCCAUCAGUGAGGAUGAUGUGCCUAAAAGGAAAACAUAGUCUCCUAUCAGAACAUGCAGUUGUUAGGACAUCUUCUCUACUUUAUGUACAAGAAAAAGAGACAAGCAAAAGGCCCUCCCAAGCCCUGAUUUACUCUUACACCUGCACAAAACAAAACACUCUACCUGUGCUAAUUGUUCAGCAGAACUCAAUAAGGAGGAAGAAAGAGAGGCUGCAGGCAGGAAAAAGGAAAAGGACUUCAAAAAUCAGGGAGAUAGAAAAUGAG